GGGCAUCCUAUGGAUAAUUCGGUUUCCACGUCCAGUCCCCGUCCUCGAGGAACUUCUUGAGGCUCGGUCACAGAUUUCAGCGGCUCUAGCUCAUCGUUCUGAAACUUAAAACGUCCAUGAUACUCCAUUAUCUUUUUUGGGGGGAAAUUGUAGAAUCAAUACAUGAGCGACACAACUAGAGGUGCACCUUGCAUGUACCUUUCUUGCCCUAAUUCUGCUUAAGCUUCUCUCUAACUGAUUCUGCGUUGAUUGUAGCUCCUCGAUGGAACACGUAUCUAAGACUUCUCCUAAGAGCCGUCUACACAACCAUUCGUGCAUAAUGAAAUCAACACGAUAUCAGACUGACUAAUAAAAGAUUUAACGAUUUGCCAAAAACAUUACGAAGGAGAUCAGUCUUGGACCUUUUCGAAAUGUCAAGAAGUUCAAUCUUCUUUACCAUCAUGUCUAGAGAGUUUCCCUUCAGAUUCUGCAUCCAAAAAACAGACACACUUAGCUCCGUUCAACUUGAAUGAUGUCUCGAGUUUGUUCUCUCUUUGUUGUUCACAUCCUUGAGUGAGAGAAAUGAAUGCUGUGACGGUCA